AUCCAGCUAAUGAGUCCCAAAUAGGACGAAAUUCGCAUUCUGGAU
rnacentral:hammerhead_ribozyme from 1 species